AUCUCUUCCUAGAGAUUGUGCCUUGUGGUGAAUGUUGUAAGCCUCCAACACUUGGGCCAAAUAUAAUGCCAAAGUCAAGAAUUAUCCAAGAGAGGAAGAAGAUAAUAAACUAUUUAAUAUGAUGUUUAGGAUUGCAGCAAGGAUUUCAGGCCUCCAAUAAGUGUUGAAGGGAGUGCCAGUAACUCAGAAAUGGAAGUCGUUUUACACAUCAGCUGAGCUUCAUCCAGGCUGUUGCAGAAUGACUCAAUGUCUGCAUCGAACAGAGGCCAGAUGAUUCCUUGUGAAAGAAGACCAAUCAACUAAAGAGACAGUUCUAUUACUAGCUCAGAUUAACAACUUUAUUGCACAUAUUUCAAGUUAAAAGUCAGGAUUCAUCUUGCCAUCUGUUGUAAAGGUUGAGAAAAUUACCAUGUGCACAAAACAGGAGCAUUUUCCUAUCAGUAUGUGUUCUUAGAUUACAUUUGCCAAUAUUGCAUAGGCACAGAUAAGCUGGGCACACUGGUAGGCAGAGCUGUGGUCUCUCUCAUUCUGUUCCAGGAAAGUUCUAGUUUGGAAGCAAGGUGACUUCAACAAUAUAUUAGUGUGCUGAAGCAAAUUCCUAAACCUUGCUGAUGAAGUAAUUGCUUUCAAAUCAGACCUUUCCUGUAUCUGACCAGCUCUUUCAGUCAAGGCAAAGGUGGCUCAUCCAGCAGUGGCACAUCCUGCAGCUCUGCUUUCCCAGCGGAAGAUGUGUAGUAUUGGUGCUGAGUGCAACAAACCCCAAGGGAACAGGCUACUGAAGUGCUAUAGUGGAAAAUCCAUGAUUAGUGCUCCCAUGUUUAUGGCCAUCCAUCUAUUUUUGUUAAAGAAAGCUGAGAGCAGUGCAGUGAUGAACUCAAGCCUGUGCAGAAGGGGCCACAUCAAAUUGUGCUGUUCCUGCUACAGACUCUUACAUGUGUGUUUAUUGCUCUUACUCACCUGUGGCUGCAAGGUGCCUCCUGCCUUCAUUACACUGCCAGCUUAUCCUGUCGCUCCUGUGGCUGCAAUACAGCUCUAGCACUCGGCUGGGUCAGGCUACCAGCAGAGGUGGAGGGAGUCAGCAUUAACCUAAGUUAUAUUGUAAGUAUUUGCUCAGAUACAAGGUAGAAUGGAAACAACGUCCUCUUCAUCGACUCCUCUGAAGACUCCUAUAUUUCAGAUGGAUGAAAGCAUGAUGGACAUGCUAAGCCUGGGACUUUAUUCACUGAGAUGUACUUCACUUUUGAAGGAAUGGAGUGUAUAUGAUUAUGAUUCUCCUCAGGCCUGCACAUGUAGGAGUGUCUAUAAGCUGUUUUUUCCUGCAGCCAACAGGAACUAGUGAAGCAGUGAAGUUGCUGUCACCAAAGGCAAGUUUUCCUAGAAGUAUAGUGUUAUGGAAAACAAGUUUCUUACUAUUUCUCCUGUCUGAUGGAAUACACUUUUAUUUUAAAUGUAAACGCAUAGCCUUUCAAUAGUGUCUCUCUGAAAAACUGUAGGAUUUUUCCAUGAACUCUAUCUCAGACUGAGAUAUCUCUGAGACUAUCUCAGACAUAUGUAGAAUAUGAUUUAGAGGCCAAGAUGAUAGUCUAAUUGCUUUUUGACUUUCUCUGUCUGUACAAUGUGUGCUACCUAUGUACAGGAUGCCAUAAAAUCUAAUAAGUGUUCUGAGGAGGUUUCAUAUCACAUUUAAAAAAAAAUAAUAAUAAAUAAAAAACUACUUAUGUGCAAUUCCUACCUUAACUUACUCUACACAGAACUCUGUGGGAGCCCUGAUGAAGCAGUAUGUGAAGCAAGAUUUUCGUAAGUGAAAGUUUGAAAUAAUGAUCAGAAAGUAAAAUAAAUCUAAAAGCUGAAGAAAAAAGUAAGAUAUAUUGCUUAAUUUCCUCUGGGUUUUGGUGCCAGAUAGAUGACUCACCUGACUAAAUGUCCACAAAGCAAAAAGCAUAUUAAGACAGUUACUUUUCUCUCCACGUAUUUCUCAGCAGUAAUAAUGGAAGUACAAGCUUUCUUGCUUUAUGAAUUUGUUUUCAUCCACUCACUUUGAGAUAGAAGGGGAGGCACUCAAUUUUAUACCAUAAUAAAAUUUUUUAAAUUAUGCAAGAAUUUCAGUGCUUGAAUCAUCCCAAAUACUGGCAUGUCUGGUACAUGACACAGCUAGAAGAACUGAAAAAUCAGAUCAAAUGCUAUAUGACAGGAUUUGAAAGUAGGGUACAGAUUGUUAUAUGCUGACAACUUUCAAAGAAAAUUGUACUUAUUAAACGUAUUACUUUACAUUCAAGCUAUUAUGUUUACUGAUUUUUAGUUUUGAAUCAGUGAUGUAAUCUGAAGUAUGGCAUAUUGUGUGACUUUUUGUCUAAAAUUCUGUCUUUGUAAUGGGGGUAGGAUUUAGCACAUGGCUAGCAGUUGAUGGUUGCUUCAAAUUCUAAUAUAACUUUUCAUUUCCAGUGCAUGGAGGCCCAAUAGCAAUGCUAUUUAAAGUAAUUAGCUGUAAUAAUCACCUUGUCUGAGAAUAAAUUUUGUAAUUCAGAAAAACAUUCUGACUUCUUAACCUUGCAGUUUCUUCAUGCUCCUAUUCAGAACCGCUUUUGUACAUCAUGAGUAACUUCCUAAGGAAUAAAAAUUUAUAGCUUACCUGUCCCAGUUAGCAGGGACAAAAGGCACCAUUCUCAUUUCAUUGGAUGGAGGUGAGGGAAAUGCAAUUCUU